GGCAGAUGAUGAUUAUAUCUUUGCUUAAAGGAAUGGGCAGUACAUUACUGCA
rnacentral:sRNA from 1 species